rnacentral:pre_miRNA from 1 species
CGUAUUAACACUGCGGCUGAUGAGGGCUGUUAAACCAACCAUCAGCCUCGCUGUCAAUACGAG